AAGGAAUUAGCGUCCAAUUGAAUUUUAAUCAAUCUUGUGGUUCACUCCCCUUAAUCUGCCCCAGGAAAUACCAGUCUUUCUGCAACAUAGCCUAAUGUAUCCUCAGAAUUCAACUCAAGACUCUUCAAACAACAAUAGAGUGUGGAAUCAUCUCUCCAAUAAGGACUACAAGUUCAAAUGAAAGGAAGGCAGUGUUGAGACUGAUCGGAGCCUUGUGAAAAUGAGACUGCUGUUCUUUUAUGGAUCUUCAAGAAGGAUGCUGCCCCACAAGGAGCCUUCCAGUUGCAACAAGGAUGAAAGAAGGUGGAUGAUUUACAGGUCAAGGGCUACCCGGCAGAUACCGUGGGAUACUCUGCUGUCAACACCAAAGGAUGGCUAUUAAGCUGCUGAGUGUUCUGUAGUUCUACUGAGGACCAUUCCUGGCUCCCAGGUUAAUUUGCUCGAUGACCACAAGAAUUGUUUCACUUCCUGUUUUUCAGUCUCA
rnacentral:lncRNA from 1 species